rnacentral:rRNA from 1 species
CGGACGGGUGAGUAAUGUCUGGGAAACUGCCCGAUGGAGGGGGGUAACUACUGGAAACGGUAGCUAAUACCGCAUAAUGUCUACGGACCAAAGCGGGGGACCUCCGGGCCUCGCGCCAUCAGAUGAACCCAUAUGGGAUUAGCUAGUAGGUGAGGUAACGGCUUACCUAGGCGACGAUCCCUAGCUGGUCUGAGAGGAUGAUCAGCCACACUGGAACUGAGACACGGUCCAG